CCUACGGGUGGCAGCAGUGAGGAAUAUUGGUCAAUGGGCGCAAGCCUGAACCAGCCAAGCAGCGUGAAGGAUGAAUGCCCUCCGGGUCGUAAACCUCUUUUAUAAAGGAAUAAAGUGAGGCACCUGUGCCUUAUUGUAUGUACUUUAUGAAUCAGGAUCGGCUAACUCCGUGCCAGCAGCCGCGGUAAUACGGAGGAGCCGAGCGUUAUCCGGAUUUAUUGGGUUUAAAGGGAGCGUAGAGGGGUGGUUAAGUCCGGGGUGAAAGGUUGUGGUUAAACCGUAAAAUUGCAUUUGAGAAUGGCAGCCUGGAGUGCAGUAGAGGUAGGCGGAAUUCGUGGUGUAGCGGUGAAAGGCGUAGAUAUCACGAAGAACGCCGAUUGCGAAGGCAGCCUGCUAGACUGCCACUGACAUUGAUGCUCGAAAGUGUGGGUAUCAAACAGGAUUAGAUACCAGAGUAGUC
rnacentral:rRNA from 1 species